AACCUCCCGGGCCACCCGGCCUGCGGCGGAAUGUUGCGUAAAGGGAAAGGUCGUAGUCAAACCCCACAGCCACGCGAACUCUAAGUCAGCCACGAAUAGGCUAUCCCAACUAACGGCGGGAAAGACUCCACGGAGGGUGUAAGACCCGUGUGGGCGCGUGUCAAAGCUGUGCGGGCUCGGCCUCUUUUCCCUGAGAGUCGCGUUGCUUGAGCAUGCAGCGCUAAGCAGGUCGUAAACUCGAUCUAAGGCUAAAUAUCUCCACAGAACCGAUAGCGAACAAGUACCGUGAGGGAAAGUUGAAAAGCACUCUGGAGAGAGAGUCAAAAGACCGUGAAACCGUUCAGAGUAUAAGCCCAUGGCAGCUUGGAAGGCAUGUCGCUAGCGGGGCAUCUGGAGUCUUCACAGACCGGGUGUUACCAUGUUUCUGUUGUGGCUCGGCAAGGUAGGGGGGUCAAGUCCACAUCCCGCCGUCGCGCGGGAGGUUCUCGGGCGCGUUGAUUUGUCUGGCGGUGGGUUUUCGGAUCUGCCGUCUGGGCUCUUCGUGCUCGGUUCCUCUUUUGCACGGCCGUUCAGACUCAGUUACAUGAUGCGACAAACAGCCCACCACGGCACGUUGUGAGGUCACCCACAGGCUCGACCUUCGAUUGCGGUCCUUGACGCCGAGCAAGCACAAUGCGUGUCGCGGAUGUUCCUAACCGGGCAGUUUACCAUUCUGCCAGGACAGUGGAACGACACGCGCUCAACAGUCAGGAUCGGGCGGAGACUGAGUUCUGGUAUGAUCCUCUUGCGACGAGCUGCUUUCUGGCCUAGUUUCUGGUGUCCAGGGCUUCCGCAUGUGCCGCGGGAGCUCGCGUUGGCGGUCUGGUUCUUGUUACGCAAGUCCUCUCAGCCGGGCUCAGAACGAGUGGUGUAAAGUCCAAGCCCAUCGGUCACGUCUCGAAACACGGGCCAAGGAGUAUAGCAUGUGUGCAAGUCUAAGAGUCUCACAAAACUCGAAGGCGAAGUGAAAGCAAGUACGCGGCGGGUGAUCCACGGAGAUCCCGUCGGCUAGGGUGUGUGCUUCGUGCACACGCCCCGGCUUUGGCAGAGUUGAUCCUGCAGCGGUACCUCGAACGUACGCUCAGGCGCAAACUCCAGGCUCACGUUUCGCACCGGUUCUCGGACUGUGCUGUGAGCACUGUGGAGCAUGCAUGCUAUGACCCGAAAGAUAGUGAACUAUGCCUGGCGAGGGCGAAGCCCCAGGAAACUGGGGUGGAGGCCCGUAGCCGUUGUGACGUGCAAAUCCA
rnacentral:rRNA from 1 species